rnacentral:misc_RNA from 1 species
AUCAGAAAUAGAAGAUAUAUGUUGGAGAUAUAUAUCUGCAAUAUCGCAUGCAUUUAUUGAAUGUGGCUGCAAGGUUCAACAAGCUGUUAUAUCUAUCUAUGGGCACUCCAUAAUACAAAAGCAGGGUCACGAUCAGUUGAGUUCACCACAGCAACAAGAAGAAAAGGAGCCAGAUCAGAGAAGAAGUGGUGGCGAUGCCGCCGAGGGCAGUGCCGUCGUCGUCUCCCUUGCCUCUUGCACUCGCCGCCGUCGCCAUAGUCGUCGUAGCACUUGCCGUUUCCUCCUGUUCCGCGACCACCGAUGCUCCAGGCCUGGGAGUGGGAGCGAGAGAGAUGGUGGCACGGGACGACCCCAAGUGCGAGGAGAUGGUGCCCUGCACCUUCAGGCGCUGCAUCCAGUACUGCGUCAGCAUCGGGCUGCAGCCCAAGGGGUUCUGCAACUCCAAGCCCAACAUGCAGGUCUACUGCUGCUGCGUCAUCCCCUAGCAUCAUAGCUCCUCGUCAACACACCUAAAUCUGCAGCCCUGCUAGAGAAGAUACGAUCUCUAUGCAGAUUAGCUGCAGCGAUAUAUAUAGAUGGAUGAAUCGUGCAAGCGGUUGAACUAUGGUGCUGGAAUCUGUAAUAUAUAUAAGCGGAUCAUCCAAAGUGCAAAACAUAUAGUUUUUGCAUUGCC